CCUACGGGGGGCAGCAGUAGGGAAUCUUCCACAAUGGGCGCAAGCCUGAUGGAGCAACACCGCGUGAGUGAAGAAGGGUUUCGGCUCGUAAAGCUCUGUUGUUGAAGAAGAACGUGCAUGAGAGUAACUGUUCAUGCAGUGACGGUAUUCAACCAGAAAGUCACGGCUAACUACGUGCCAGCAGCCGCGGUAAUACGUAGGUGGCAAGCGUUAUCCGGAUUUAUUGGGCGUAAAGAGAGUGCAGGCGGUUUCUUAAAUCUGAUGUGAAAGCCUUCGGCUCAACCGAAGAAGUGCAUCGGAAACUGGGAGACUUGAGUACAGAAGAGGGCAGUGGAACUCCAUGUGUAGCGGUGGAAUGCGUAGAUAUAUGGAAGAACACCAGUGGCGAAGGCGGCUGCCUGGUCUGUAACUGACGCUGAGACUCGAAAGCAUGGGUAGCGAACAGGAUUAGAUACCCUAGUAGUC
rnacentral:rRNA from 1 species